rnacentral:pre_miRNA from 1 species
CAGAAUAAGAACGCACCAGAUUUACGUAACAAAACCGGUUUUGUCCGUGGCCGCCUGGUGCGUUCUUAUUCUGGA